CCUUUUGCCUCUGAGUUGCAGGCGCUUUUUCGCAUUCACCUAUAGGCUACGUUAAUUCACCUGGACCCGUCUUCCUCAGGGCUUUGUUGACUCGUCAGCUGUAUUCUCCACUGUAGUGCACAGAACUUUGGCCAAUAUCCACCUGGCUGAAACAACCUGCAUCCUUCAAUACACAGAUGACAUUCUUGUUACAGGACUGACGGAGCAGGACUGCCUCAAAGCGUCAGUGGUUGUCUGCAAUGUCCUGGCUCAGGCUGGAUUUAAAGCUUCACACUAGAAACUACAGUUGGUGAAGCGAAAGGUCUCAUAUCUGGGCCAUGUGAUCUCAGAAAGCCAAUGCAAGAUAUCAUAGGGCCAAGUACAGCUUGUGGCUAGGUUUUCAAGACUUCAGACUGUGAAACAGAUGCAGAGCUUCUUGAAACUGAUGAACUACUGCCUAACAUAGAUCCCUGACUGCGCACGGCAUGAUAACGUUUUGCGUAGUGCUACUGACAACAAAGCUCCUCCAUCACAUCUCAUUCUGUGGACUCAUUAAAUGAUUGACAGUUUUACUGCCCUCAAGAAGGCUAUACAGUCUGCUCCAGCUUUUAUUCUUCCAAAUUAUGGUCCGGGAUGCUGAGAAAACGGUGCUGUCACAUCCUUUGAUACUGUACACCUCACAUCAGAUAAGCCAACACACCCUUUUAUGCGUAAACAGCAGGUCCUGAUACAAAGCCUGAAGCCUACCAAGGUCUGUGAGCUGAAGUAUCUGGGUCCAGUGACUGUUCUAGCUGUAACCAGAACAGGAGAUCUGACUGAUUAUCAGCAACAGUGGAUUCACUCAAGCAGGAUCAAAGUAGAAUAAUCUGUGCAUUAAAUGGUCUGUUGGCCUAAGAAGCCUACUAAGUGAGUAUUCAGGGCUGAAUUAGUUUUAAGUCCAUGGAAAGAUCCUUUCUUUAUAGAGAAAGGGGGCCACCUCUGGUGUGAAGAUCCACUUGACUGUUUUGUUUAGCUUACCCUGAUACCUCUAGGUCUAAAUUCUAUAACUAUACGUGCAUAGUUGUAAUUACACUCCAAAUUUUCCAAAAUUAAACACAUUAUUCAAAGAAGGGAAACUGUUAUGUAUACCUUAUAAUGAUGCUUACGGACAUAUUGAACAAACACUGAGAAACAUCUCAGAAACGCCUUUUGACGUCUUGGAGUACGUGAAAUAACUGCUGAGCAAAUUUUUUUUAGAAGAUUAAGAAUUUAUUUACGAGUGUUUAACUCUACUUUGUUUUAGGAUUGAUUGUUAUAUUGUAUGUUGAAUUAAUAGAAUUUUACUUUGUAUGUUGCCAUGUUUGAUGAUGAUGGUAAGACAGGCCAUAAAGUUUUCGAUUGGAGUGGUAAUAAUGAAGGAUUAUAUGGAUUUAGAAAUGAAAUGAAAGGAAAUUUGUUGUUUUUUGUUUUGUCUUUAUCUUUUUAUUUGCAGUUUAUAUCACCGAUCCUGUUCCCAUGAAGAACAUCCUAUGUUAUGGUGUGAGGUGCUUAAUCAUAAAUGAUUUAAAGUGGCCAUUGUUAGAGUUAAGAUGAGCCUCAUACUGUUCUCUAAACACAUUUCUAUGUUAUCUGUUUAGUGUCUAUAGGAUCUUUACGAUGUGAGUAUGUAAAGUACACGGAAUGUCUUUUGUCUGGGCUCACACAUCUCUGGUUUCUAUGUCUUCUUACCCAAUCAGGAACAGUUUUAGGUCAGGUUUUUUCCAGUGUGUCUAUAUACUUGUCUGUUAUCUGCAUUAAACUGAAGAAGAACAGUA